UGAUUAUGAUCUUCAGGCUUUGCCUAACCAGGUGGGCAUUACUUUUACUAUACGUAUAUAGAGAUCCCCUGCGUGUCGUAGGCCUCUUAUACGAAUAUAUGCAUGAGAUGAUUUUAACUGUUAAUUUCAGUUUAUUAUUAUGCUCAAAUGAUAAAUGACUCUUAUGAAAUGAAAAUGAAAUGUUCAUGAAAUGAAAUGAAAUGUUUAUGAAAUGAUUGACUGCCAAAAAUGUUUAUGUUUUUAUAUGUAUCCUAUCUGUGUUGGUUCGCCAACUUUAAAGGAAAUCCAAUUGGGAUCCUAUGCUAGACAAAGGUCGCUAGCUAGGGUUAACGUGUACACUCAUGGAGACCGCGAGUCGCUUGCGACCGGUCUUGGCGUCCGUGGUAAGGAGGCCUCCUUCCCGGCGCGUGACAGAAAGGAACAGAUAUGGAUCAUAUGAAGGAAAAUGAUCGGCCGAUCGACUUUAUGAAAAUGAAAGAAAUAUUUUAGUAAGCGCAGGUCAUUUAAGAAAACCCCUGUGUGUUACUGUUAUGGCAGUUCAAUUUAUAUAUGUAUGCAUGAAUGUAUUUUCGGCAUAUGCCCACUGAGUAUUUUUAUACUCAGCCCUGCAUGUAUUUCUAAAUGUGCAGGUUGAGCAGCUGAUGGAAUGGAAUGGUGUUGAGCGGGUGUUCCUUUGACAUUUCAAGAAAUGUAACCUUGAGUAUACAUCUUCAUAUGUAUAUCUCACACGUUUUCCGCUGCAAAACACUUUGAUUAGGAUAACUCUAUGUUAUGAAGUUGUGACACGUGUUAUUGGGUAACCCACCAUAAUCAAUUCUCCUUUAUGUGUAUGUUUUAUAAGUAUCCAAAUAAUCAUAUAUGAU
rnacentral:lncRNA from 1 species